AAAGAAACUAACAAGGAUUUUCUUAGUAGCGGCGAGCGAAAAGAAAUCAGUUCAGCACUAAGUCACUUUGUCUAUAUGGCAAAUGUGAGAUGCAGUGUAUGGAACAUCAAUAUUCUAGUAUGAGAAAUUAACGAUUUAAGUCCUUCUUAAAUGAGGCCAUUUACCCAUAGAGGGUGCCAGGCCCGUAUAACGUUAAUGAUUACUAGAUGGUGUUUCCAAAGAGUCGUGUUGCUUGAUAGUGCAGCACUAAGUGGGUGGUAAACUCCAUCUAAAACUAAAUAUAACCAUGAGACCGAUAGUAAACAAGUACCGUGAGGGAAAGUUGAAAAGAACUCUGAAUAGAGAGUUAAAUAGUACGUGAAACUGCUUAGAGGUUAAGCCCGAUGAACCUGAAUAUCCGUUAUGGAAAAUUCAUCAUUAGAGUUGUAAUAUUUAAACAAUAUUAUAAUAAUAGUGUGCAUUUUUUCCAUAUAAGGACAUUGUAAUCUAUUAGCAAAAUCAAUUUAUCAAAAAAUUGUGACUUAUUGUUUAUUUAAAUUAUUAUGCUUGCAUUUUAACACAAAAUAAAUGUUAUAAAUUUGAUAAAGUGCUGAUAAAUUAAUAUGAGUACAGUGCGUUAAUUUUUCGGAAUUAUAUAAUGGCAUAAUUAUCAUUGAUUUUUGUGUUUAUUAUAUGCACUUGUAUGAUUAACAAUGCGAAAGAUUCAGGAUACCUUCGGGACCCGUCUUGAAACACGGACCAAGGAGUCUAACAUAUGUGCAAGUUAUUGGGAUAUAAACCUAAUGGCGUAAUUAACUUGACUAUUAAUGGGAUUAGUUUUUUAACUAUUUAUAGCUAAUUAACACAAUCCCGGGGCG
rnacentral:rRNA from 1 species